rnacentral:ribozyme from 1 species
CCCUUUCUAUCUUUCCUCUCUCACGCUCCAAAUUUCUCUCCAAACCCCCCCUCCUCGCCAAAGAAGGCAAAAAAAAGAUAUUAAAUAUGAUUACUAUGCUCUUCUCUCUGACCCCUCUUCUCCCUCUCCCGCUUCUUCCGAAGAAGGAAGUGAGGGGGAGGUGGC